AGUGAACGCUGGCGGUAGGCCUAACACAUGCAAGUCGAACGGCAGCACAGGAGAGCUUGCUCUCUAGGUGGCGAGUGGCGGACGGGUGAGGAAUACAUCGGAAUCUGCCCAGUCGUGGGGGAUAACGUAGGGAAACUUACGCUAAUACCGCAUACGACCUUCGGGUGAAAGAGGGGGAUCGCAAGACCUCUCGCGAUUGGAUGAGCCGAUGUCGGAUUAGCUAGUUAGCGGGGUAAUGGCCCGCCAAGGCGACGAUCCGUAGCUGGUCUGAGAGGAUGAUCAGCCACACUGGAACUGAGACACGGUCCAGACUCCUACGGGAGGCAGCAGUGGGGAAUAUUGGACAAUGGGCGCAAGCCUGAUCCAGCCAUACCGCGUGGGUGAAGAAGGCCUUCGGGUUGUAAAGCCCUUUUGUUGGGAAAGAAAUCGUUCAGGCUAAUACCCUGGGAGAAUGACGGUACCCAAAGAAUAAGCACCGGCUAACUUCGUG
rnacentral:rRNA from 1 species